rnacentral:rRNA from 1 species
CGGAGCAUGUGGCUUAAUUCGAAGCAACGCGAAGAACCUUACCAGGGCUUGACAUCACCGUGAAGCGGCGGAGACGCCGUGGCCGGAAGGAGCGGUGACAGGUGGUGCAUGGCUGUCGUCAGCUCGUGCCGUGAGGUGUUGGGUUAAGUCCCGCAACGAGCGCAACCCCCGCCGCGUGUUGCCAGCAUUCAGUUGGGCACUCACGCGGGACUGCCGGCGUCAAGCCGGAGGAAGGCGGGGACGACGUCAAGUCAUCAUGCCCCUCAUGCCCUGGGCCGCACACGUGCUACAAUGGCCGGCACAACGGGUUGCCACCCCGCGAGGGGGAGCGGAUCCCUAAAGCCGGCCCCAGUUCGGAUCGCAGGCUGCAACCCGCCUGCGUGAAGCCGGAGUUGCUAGUAAUCGCGGAUCAGCACGCCGCGGUGAAUACGUUCCCGGGCCUUGUACACACCGCCCGUCACACCACCCGAGUCGUCUGCACCCGAAGCCGCCGGCCGAACCCCUCCGGGGGGCGGAGGCGUCGAAGGUGUGGAGGGUGAGGGGGGUGAAGUCGUAACAAGGUAGCCGUACCGGAAGGUGCGGCUG